rnacentral:rRNA from 1 species
CGAACGGGUGAGUAAUGCGUGACCAACCUGCCCCAUGCUCCAGAAUAGCUCUUGGAAACGGGUGGUAAUGCUGGAUGCUCAACUUGACGCAUGUCUUGUUGGGAAAGUGUUUAGUGGCAUGGGAUGGGGUCGCGUCCUAUCAGCUUGUAGGCGGGGUAAUGGCCCACCUAGGCUUCGACGGGUAGCCGGCCUGAGAGGGCGGACGGCCACAUUGGGACUGAGAUACGGCCCAGACUCCUACGGGAGGCAGCAGGG